GACGGACGGUGCAAGCGUUGCUCGGAAUCACUGGGCGUAAAGGGUGCGUAGGCGGCCGUGCAAGUCUGGCGUGAAAGCCCCGGGCUCAGCCCGGGAAGUGCGCUCGAAACUGCGCGGCUCGAGUGCCGGAGGGGAGAGUGGAAUUCCUGGUGUAGCGGUGAGAUGCGUAGAUAUCAGGAGGAAUACCGGUGGCGAAAGCGACUCUCUGGACGGCAACUGACGCUGAGGCACGAAAGCGUGGGGAGCAAACAGG
rnacentral:rRNA from 1 species